GGAUUAGAUACCCUGGUAGUCCACGCUGUAAACGAUGGGUACUAGGUUUGGUGGGUCUUGACCCCCGCCGAACCGGAGCUAACGCAAUAAGUACCCCGCCUGGGAAGUACGGUCGCAAGACUAAAACUCAAAGGAAUUGACGGGGGCCCGCACAAGCGGUGGAUCAUGUGGUUUAAUUCGAAGCAACGCGAAGAACCUUACCUGGAUUUGACAUCCUUGGACAACUCUAGAGAUAGAGCUUUCGUAGCAAUACGACCAAGUGACAGGUGCUGCAUGGCUGUCGUCAGCUCGUGCCG
rnacentral:rRNA from 1 species